UAUAAAGAGAGCGAUGGCGACCCGCACACACACAAGUCGUGUACUCGGUGUUUGGUGACAGACAACCUCGGCCGCUGCCUAUAGUGUCCUCUCGCUCAGCUGAAUAUCAACAUCAAGUUUGAUCAAUUGUUCGUCUUGGUGAUACUUGCAGACCACAUCAAGCGUGAUAACAGGGAGAUGUUGGUGAAGGUGAUUCAAGCAUUGGUGAUGACCUGCUUGAUUGUUGCUGCCAGCAGCCGGCGUCUGCCCAGUGACCAGAGUGGGUCUGCCCUCCCUCAGCCUGCUCCUCCUCGGCCUACCUCUCCUGGAGACUACGUUUCUAAGAAAGAAAGUACCCCUGGCAGGAGGGAAAGUGACAUGACUGCCACCAAAUGGAGGGAAAGUGAUCAGACCAUCACCAGCACCGUGAGAAGUAGCCUAACUGCUACCAGCAGGAAGGAAACUACCGUCACCAGGAGGAAAAUCACCCCCGGAACAAAGGAAAGUGUCCCCAACACGAAGGAAAGUGCCGCCAGUGGGAAGGAGACCGCCCCUCCCCCGACCACCACCACCACCACACUCGACCCCUUCAUAGACUUCUGUAAGGAGGCGUGUGAGGCUGGCGUGGGCGGCCCGGAGUGUGACUGUCCUGACCACCCUAUUGGUUAGUUGCCUGGUCCUUCUGGGGGCCCCCAGCAGGAGCAGGCGUGCGUGGGUGUCAACUCACUAUACUACCCAGACCCGGGUUCGAGGCAGGACAGUACAUCUCCGUCAUUUCCCUGGGUAUUACGAAGCCAUUAUUGCCUCGUACAAAGCCGGGAUGAAUAUGAUAGUCCUCUGUUAAUAAACCUUUCCACAUAACAGUUCGAAAUCGCUGAAACUGGCGGUUCAUAGAGGGCGUGACGCUAUGUUAUAUCACUUGACACUUCACUGUACUAUAGUGACAUUGUAACAAAUAGGUUUAAGUGCAGUAAUUGAUGUAGAAGCAAAAUGAUGGUGAUUGUGAGAGAUUGUACAAAUUUACAGGUAUGGACAGGUAUAUUAACGAUGAACAUACGCUGGUUUGUGCGUGUACAUAAGUUACCAUAAAUGGUAAUGAGUAAUACCCAUUACCAGUAAUAAUGGAUAAUAUAAUGUGGUAUUAUCUUGUUAUCUGUUGUAUAUGGUUUUAUGAUGAGUCCAUUUCCAAUUGUCACAUUCUCAAAACUUAUCCAGACUUGUGGUUUGUUGUUGAACUCUGAUAAUUGUAUCAUUUACGGCAAAGACAUCUAAGAGAAGUUGACAACCUCAAAUGUUGAACUGUCAUUUAGCAGCGUGUUCCGUCAAAGGCUGAUAAGGCUGGUCACCCUAGUAUGUUAGUGUCCGAACUAGUGUGUGAAACGGUGUAGUUGGCAGGUAAUCUGACGGAACACUGACUGCUCCUCAGUGGUAGUCGAGCUUGGGACCACUGGCGUCUAUGUUGAGAAUGAGUACCACACCGCCACCUCACAUUCACUCACGUUGUCUAGUGACUGACCCGCCCACCUUCAUGGUGUCUAGUGACUGAACCGCCCACCUUCAUGUUGUCUAGUGACUGAACCACCCACCUUCAUGGUGUCUAGUGACUGAACCACCCACCUUCAUGGUGUCUAGUGACUGAACCACCCACCUUCAUGUUGUCUAGUGACUGACUCACCCACCUUCAUGUUGUCUAGUGACUGAACCACCCACCUUCAUGGUGUCUAGUGACUGAACCACCCACCUUCAUGGUGUCUAGUGACUGAACCGCCCACCUUCAUGGUGUCUAGUGACUGAACCGCCCACCUUCAUGUUGUCUAGUGACUGAACCACCCACCUUCAUGGUGUCUAGUGACUGAACCGCCCACCUUCAUGUUGUCUAGUGACUGAACCACCCACCUUCAUGGUGUCUAGUGACUGACUCACCCACCUUCAUGUUGUCUAGUGACUGAACCACCCACCUUCAUGUUGUCUAGUGACUGAACCACCCACCUUCAUGGUGUCUAGUGACUGACCCACCCACCUUCAUGUUGUCUAGUGACUGAACCACCCACCUUCAUGGUGUCUAGUGACUGACCCACCCACCUUCAUGUUGUCUAGUGACUGAACCACCCACCUUCAUGUUGUCUAGUGACUGACUCACCCACCUUCAUGUUGUCUAGUGACUGAACCACCCACCUUCAUGGUGUCUAGUGACUGAACCACCCACCUUCAUGGUGUCUAGUGACUGAACCGCCCACCUUCAUGGUGUCUAGUGACUGAACCCCCCACCUUCAUGUUGUCUAGUGACUGAACCACCCACCUUCAUGGUGUCUAGUGACUGAACCGCCCACCUUCAUGUUGUCUAGUGACUGAACCACCCACCUUCAUGUUGUCUAGUGACUGAACCACCCACCUUCAUGUUGUCUAGUGACUGAACCACCCACCUUCACGUUGUCUAGUGACUGAACCACCCACCUUCAUGUUGUCUAGUGACUGAACCACCCACCUUCACGUUGUCUAGUGACUGAACCACCCACCUUCACGUUGUCUAGUGACUGAACCACCCACCUUCACGUUGUCUAGUGACUGAACCACCCACCUUCACGUUGUCUAGUGACUGAACCACCCACCUUCAUGUUGUCUAGUGACUGAACCACCCACCUUCAUGUUGUCUAGUGACUGAACCACCCACCUUCAUGUUGUCUAGUGACUGAACCACCCACCUCCAUGUUGUCUAGUGACUGAACCACCCACCUUCAUGUUGUCUAGUGACUGAACCACCCACCUUCAUGUUGUCUAGUGACUGAACCACCCACCUUCAUGUUGUCUAGUGACUGAACCACCCACCUUCAUGUUGUCUAGUGACUGACUCACCCACCUUCAUGUUGUCUAGUGACUGACUCACCCACCUUCAUGUUGUCUAGUGACUGAACCACCCACCUUCAUGUUGUCUAGUGACUGAACCACCCACCUUCAUGUUGUCUAGUGACUGAACCACCCACCUUCAUGUUGUCUAGUGACUGAACCACCCACCUUCAUGUUGUCUAGUGACUGAACCACCCACCUUCAUGUUGUCUAGUGACUGAACCACCCACCUUCAUGUUGUCUAGUGACUGAACCAUCCACCUUCAUGUUGUCUAGUGACUGAACCACCCACCUUCAUGUUGUCUAGUGACUGAACCACCCACCUUCAUGUUGUCUAGUGACUGAACCACCCACCUUCAUGUUGUCUAGUGACUGAACCAUCCACCUUCAUGUUGUCUAGUGACUGAACCAUCCACCUUCAUGUUGUCUAGUGACUGAACCACCCACCUUCAUGUUGUCUAGUGACUGAACCACCCACCUUCAUGUUGUCUAGUGACUGAACCAUCCACCUUCAUGUUGUCUAGUGACUGAACCAUCCACCUUCAUGUUGUCUAGUGACUGAACCACCAGUAAACUCUUGGUUGUUUCAUGACUCACAAAACUUAGCUGAGUACUGGCUGACCAUCUGUGGUGGCUGACCAUCUGUGGUGGCUGGUGGCUGACCAUCUGUGGUGGCUGGUGGCUGACCAUCUGUGGUGGCUGGUGGCUGACCAUCUGUGGUGGCUGGUGGCUGACCAUCUGUGAUGGCUGGUGGCUGACCAUCUGUGAUGGGUGGUGGCUGACCAUCUGUGAUGGCUGGUGGCUGACCAUCUGUGAUGGCUGGUGGCUGACCAUCUGUGAUGGGUGGUGGCUGACCAUCUGUGAUGGCUGGUGGCUGACCAUCUGUGAUGGGUGGUGGCUGACCAUCUGUGAUGGGUGGUGGCUGACCAUCUGUGAUGGCUGGUGGCUGACCAUCUGUGAUGGCUGGUGGCUGACCAUCUGUGAUGGCUGGUGGCUGACCAUCUGUGGUGGCUGGUGGCUGACCAUCUGUGAUGGCUGGUGGCUGACCAUCUGUGAUGGCUGGUGGCUGACCAUCUGUGGUGGCUGAACUGACUCCAUGGCUAAACUACGUGUGAUUAGUAAAUAAUUACAGUGAAAUGUAUUUAUUAUAUUGUAUUUUUAUCCUGUACUAUUGUAUACGGUAAUGUGCAGCUGUAGCAUGUUGUGUACUGUUGUACACUAUAAUGUUAUCAGGUGUUACACUGUUCACUAUUGUUCAAUAAUGUACUGAAUUAAACUAAAUGUACACCCUUGUACCUGAUCCAAACAUUGGAACAGUUUGUUCACAGACUGGAGUUAAUUAAACAACUGUUUAUUGGA
rnacentral:lncRNA from 1 species